GAUAAACGCUGGCGGCGCACAUAAGACAUGCAAGUCGAACGGAAGUCGUUAUACAAGGAGAGAAGAUUUAUCGGAUUGAAUUAUAUAACAAUGGCUUUAGUGGCGGACUGGUGAGUAACGCGUAAGAAAUCUACCUAUUGGAGGGGAACAACAAUGAGAAAUCAUUGCUAAUACCGCAUAUGCCAUAAACAUCGCAUGAUGAAAGUGGGAAAGGAGCAAUCCGCUGAUAGAUGAUCUUGCGUCUGAUUAGUUAGUUGGUGGGGUAAUGGCCUACCAAGACGACGAUCAGUAGCCGGACUGAGAGGUUGAACGGCCACAUUGGGACUGAGAUACGGCCCAGACUCCUACGGGAGGCAGCAGUCGGGAAUAUUGCGCAAUGGAGGAAACUCUGACGCAGUGACGCCGCGUGCAGGAAGAAGGUUUUCGGAUUGUAAACUGCUUUAGACAGGGAAGAGAAAGGACAGUACCUGUAGAAUAAG
rnacentral:rRNA from 1 species